rnacentral:tRNA from 1 species
GCCUGGGUGGCUCAGUCGGUUGAGUGUCUGACUUCAACUCAGGUCAUGAUCUCAUGGUUCAUGGGUUUGAGCCCCGUGUCGGGGCU